rnacentral:rRNA from 1 species
GAGACUCUGUGCGCGUGCAUAUCAAUAAGCGGAGGAAAAGAAACUAACUAGGAUUCCCCUAGUAACGGCGAGUGAAGCGGGAAGAGCUCAAAUUUGAAAUCUUAAAGGCUUCUGCCUUGACGAAUUGUAGUUUAAAGAAGUGUUUUCUGUUGGAGUUUCGGUAAAAGUUCUUUGGAAUAGGACAUCAUAGAGGGUGAGAAUCCCGUAUUUGAUCAUUUACUUUCCAGCUGUGUGAUACACUUUCAAAGAGUCGGAUUGUUUGGGAAUGCAGUCCACAAUGGGUGGUAAACUUUCAUCUAAAGCUAAAUACUGGCGAGAGACCGAUAGCGAACAAGUACCGUGAGGGAAAGAUGAAAAGAACUUUGAAAAGAGAGUUAAACAGUACGUGAAAUUGUCAAAAGGGAAGCGUUUGACACCAGUGUUGUUUUUCCGAAAAUCAAUUACGAAUGUUUUAGUUUUUGAGGAGUUAUGACUUCAUCGGCUUGCUCCUUUCUUUAUGAAACUUUCUUAAUGCACUUUUCGGUUAACAAGUCAACAUCAAUUUCUUUUGUUGUAAAAGGGUAUGAGGAAGGUGGCUUUCUUUUCGGAGAAAGUGUUUAUAGCCUUGUAGCCUCUGCAAUCGGAGAGAUUGAGGUCUGCAGUGUAGAUCCUUCGGGGUUAGAUACAGUUGGUGCUAAGUUAUAGCUUGUCAUAGACAACUUGUUGACUAUGUUAAGUCAUUGUAGCUUACUCGCUGAUGCUAUUUUACCUACGCUUAGGAUGUUGACAGCAGUAUAGACUGU